CAAAAGCCGGCCCUGCAUGCAACCUUUCUCUCAGUGCAACUAAAAUUUUAUUGAUACACGCCACACGCCAGAAAUGUGCGAGACUUUUCUCAGUGUACUUGCGUGUACACUUGCCAACUCGAUACUAAAAUUAAGUACAUGCUAACAACAAAAGAAUCGCCGUCCGUGUCGGUUCUUGUGAGAGAUAUGUAUUCUUUGCUCUUAGUAUUAUUUUAUAUAUUUGAUUAGUCAGGGUAGCACCUCCAUAUUUAAUAAGUUCCGCGGAUAUACUAUCACUUCCUGGAGAUUUAUUAUUUCUUAGGUGUUUUAUUACAUCCCGUACUUCUUGAAUUGAUGGAGGCUCUAAUGGUGUAUUGUUGGUUGCUCUUGGGUUCGGUUGAUUUGGAUCUUCUACUUCGAUGGAACUACUACAGGAAACUAUUUAUAGAAGAACAGGCCCACCAGCAAUGGGGGUCUGGGAGGGUCCGCCGACCCCCCUGGAUAAUUAUAGCUUAAGAUAAAACAAAUCCGACUCUUGUUUAUAAACAAGGUUAUUGACAAUUUGGACAAGAUCGAAGAAGAUUACAGUUUUUAUUUACCGAUUAAUCUUUUUUUGUAUUAUAUGAUUAUUAAAAUAUAAUUUUUUCUUACUCUUUUCAAA